rnacentral:rRNA from 1 species
UUUGUUGGCUUUCUGAUACCAGAGGUAAUGAUUAAUAGGGACAACUGGGGGCAUUCGUAUUGCGACGUUAGAGGUGAAAUUCUUGGAUCGUCGCAAGACGGACUAAAGCGAAAGCAUUUGCCAAAGGUGUUUUCAUUAAUCAAGAACGAAAGUUAGAGGUUCGAAGGCGAUUAGAUACCGCUGUAGUUCUAACCAUAAAUGAUGCCAGCCAGCGAUCCGCCGAAGUUUCAUUAUUUUAACUCGGUGGGCAGCUCCCGGGAAACCAAGCUWUCGGGCUCCGRRGGA